CCCCAACCCCAGAUACUCUGAGCAGCUGUAGAGAGGCAGGAAGGGGGCUGGAACUCUGCUGCUUUCUUGCUUCUUGUUGCAUUUGUGGGACGCCUGGACCCCUCUGGGCAGAUGAGACCCCUGCUGCCCUCGGCCACGGGGUCCGUUCCCACUGGGCUCCCCCAGCUCGUCCACUCUUGUUGCUUCCCAGCAGGAAUGUGCCCACUGCAUCCUGCCCCAUGUCUUGCCCACUGCGUCCUGCCCCCUGCGUCCUGCCCGCUGCGUCCUGCCCCGUGUCCUGCCCCGUGUCCUGCCCACUGCAUCCUGCCCCCUGCCUGCUGCGUCCUGCCCCGUGUCCUGCCCACUGCAUCCUGCCCCCUGCCUGCUGCGUCCUGCCCCCUGUCCGCUGCAUCCUGCCCCCUGCCUGCUGCGUCCUGCCCACCCUGGCUCCCCUCUUUCAACCAAACACCUCUUUCUUCUAGCAAAAUAUGCCAAGUGCGACCAGUGUGGAAACCCAAAGGGCAAUCGAUGCGUGUUUAACCUGUGCCGGAGCUGCUGCAAGAAGAGAGCCUUCAAGGAGACUGCGGACUGCCCAGGUGCGGGGACGGCGCUCCCAGCCGCGCAGCCGCCCGCGCCGUGGCCUGCAGCCGCCUGAGCCCCGGGUCUCCUCUUGCUCCGCAGGUCACGGACUGCUCUUCAAAACCAAACUGGA
rnacentral:lncRNA from 1 species